rnacentral:rRNA from 1 species
AUUGAACGCUGGCGGCAGGCCUAACACAUGCAAGUCGAACGAGCGGCGGACGGGUGAGUAAUGUCUGGGAAACUGCCCGAUGGAGGGGGAUAACUACUGGAAACGGUAGCUAAUACCGCAUACCAUCGGAUGUGCCCAGAUGGGAUUAGCUAGUAGGUGGGGUAACGGCUCACCUAGGCGACGAUCCCUAGCUGGUCUGAGAGGAUGACCAGCCACCAUGAAACUGAGACACGGUCCAGACUCCUACGGGAGGCAGCAGUAGGGAAUAUUGCACAAUGGGCGCAAGCCUGAUGCAGCCAUGCCGCGUGUAUGAAGAAGGCCUUCGGGUUGUAAAGUACUUUCAGCGAGGAGGCGUUACUCGCAGAAGAAGCACCGGCUAACUCCGUGCCAGCAGCCGCGGUAAUUC